rnacentral:rRNA from 1 species
UACAGAGGUCUCAAGCGUUUGUUCGGAUUCAUUAGGGGCGUAAAGGGUGCGUAGGUGGCGCUGUAAGUCCGGGUGUGAAAAUUUCGGAGCUUAAACUCCGAAACUGCAUUCGGAUACUGCGGUGCUUGAGGACUGGAGAGGAGACUGGAAUUCAUGGUGUAGCAGUGAAAUGCGUAGAGAUCAUGAGGAAGACCAGUGGCGAAGGCGGGUCUCUGGGCCGAUACUGACGCUGAGGAGCGAAAGCGUGGGGAGCGAACAGG